GUGGGGAAUCUUAGACAAUGGGGGAAACCCUGAUCUAGCCAUGCCGCGUGAGCGAUGAAGGCCUUAGGGUUGUAAAGCUCUUUCAGCUGGGAAGAUAAUGACGGUACCAGCAGAAGAAGCCCCGGCUAACUCCGUGCCAGCAGCCGCGGUAAUACGGAGGGGGCUAGCGUUGUUCGGAAUUACUGGGCGUAAAGCGCGCGUAGGCGGACCAGAAAGUUGGAGGUGAAAUCCCAGGGCUCAACCUUGGAACUGCCUUCAAAACUCCUGGUCUGGAGUUCGAGAGAGGUGAGUGGAAUUUCGAGUGUAGAGGUGAAAUUCGUAGAUAUUCGGAGGAACACCAGUGGCGAAGGCGGCUCACUGGCUCGAUACUGACGCUGAGGUGCGAAAGCGUGGGGAGCAAACAGGAUUAGAAACCCUGGUAGUCC
rnacentral:rRNA from 1 species